CCUACGGGACGCAGCAGUGGGGGAUAUUGCACAAUGGGGGAAACCCUGAUGCAGCGACGCCGCGUGAGCGAUGAAGUAUUUCGGUAUGUAAAGCUCUAUCAGCAGGGAAGAAAAUGACGGUACCUGACUAAGAAGCCCCGGCUAACUACGUGCCAGCAGCCGCGGUAAUACGUAGGGGGCAAGCGUUAUCCGGAUUUACUGGGUGUAAAGGGAGCGUAGACGGCGGCGCAAGCCAGAUGUGAAAGCCCGGGGCUCAACCCCGGGACUGCAUUUGGAACUGUGCCGCUAGAGUGUCGGAGAGGCAG
rnacentral:rRNA from 1 species